UUGACCUCGGAUCAGGUAGGAAUACCAGCGGAACUUAAGCAUAUCAAUAAGCGGAGGA
rnacentral:rRNA from 1 species